GGACUACAAACUGGGACAGGUAGGAUGGAGAGAGAGAUGGACUACAAACUGGGACAGGUAGGAUGGAGAGAGAGCUGGACUACAAACUGGGACAGGUAGGAUGGAGAGAGAGAUGGACUACAAACUGGGACAGGUAGGAUGGAGGGAGAGAGAGAUGGGACACAUGGACUACAAACUGGGACAGGUAGGAUGGAAGGAGAGAGAGAUGGGCAACAUGGACUACAAACUGGGACAGGUAGGAUGGAGGGAUGGAAGGAGAGAGAGAUGGACUACAAACUGGGACAGGUAGGAUGGAGGGAUGGAAGGAGAGAGGGGGCGGAGGAAAGGGAAGACAGACCAAAUGGCAUAGUUGUGUCCUUCUCUUGCAGAUAUGUUCAGUCUCUCUCUCUCUCUCUCUAAUUCCUCUCCUUUAUUGUCUCUCUCUCUCUAAUUCCUCUCCUUUAUUGUCUCUCUCUCUAAUUCCUCUCCUUUAUUGUCUCUCUCUCUAAUUCCUCUCCUUUAUUGUCUCUCUCUCUCUCUAAUUCCUCUCCUUUAUU
ensembl:lncRNA